rnacentral:rRNA from 1 species
UACGAAGGGGGCUAGCGUUGCUCGGAAUGACUGGGCGUAAAGGGCGCGUAGGCGGCGGUCACAGUCAGAUGUGAAAUUCCUGGGCUCAACCUGGGGGCUGCGUUUGAUACGUGCGGACUUGAGUGCGGAAGAGGGUCGUGGAAUUCCCAGUGUAGAGGUGAAAUUCGUAGAUAUUGGGAAGAACACCGGUGGCGAAGGCGGCGACCUGGUCCGAUACUGACGCUGAGGCGCGAAAGCGUGGGGAGCAAACAGG